rnacentral:rRNA from 1 species
AUGAACGCUAGCUACAGGCUUAACACAUGGCAAGUCGAGGGGCAGCAUGAUUGAAGCUUGCUUCAAUUGAUGGCGACCGGCGCACGGGUGAGUAACACGUAUCCAACCUUCCGUACACUCAGGGAUAGCCUUUCGAAAGAAAGAUUAAUACCUGAUGGUAUCUUAAGCACACAUGUAAUUAAGAUUAAAGAUUUAUCGGUGUACGAUGGGGAUGCGUUCCAUUAGGUAGUAGGCGGGGUAACGGCCCACCUAGCCUACGAUGGAUAGGGGUUCUGAGAGGAAGGUCCCCCACAUUGGAACUGAGACACGGUCCAAACUCCUACGGGAGGCAGCAGUGAGGAAUAUUGGUCAAUGGGCGUUAGCCUGAACCAGCCAAGUAGCGUGAAGGAUGACGGCUCUAUGAGUUGUAAACUGCUUUUGUACUAGGGUAAACUCACCUACGUGUAGGUGACUGAAAGUAUAGUACGAAUAAGGAUCGGCUAACUCCGUG